UCUUCAUUUCACGUGCUCUCUCACCGAUCAGUGUGGCGAGAGAGCGUGCGAAAUGGAGAGA
rnacentral:pre_miRNA from 1 species